CCCUCUAUAGUUGCAGACUUGAGUAGUUGUGACACUGUGUGCAAUGCAAGCUAAAAUGACUUUUUGGAAAAGUUCGUUUCCUGCUUAAAAUUGUCCCUACCUACCCUGGGGCUCAGGACAAAGCAGAUAUACUCAAUAGGGGUUGACUGCUCACUUUGGGAAAAGAGAAGAGAAAAUUUGGCUCUGUAAGCCCACAGCUACACCAGAUUUCAAGAAGUCCAAAUCCCUCCAUACAGGUGGGAGGAAGAUGAAGUAUUUGGAAGAUCACUCUACUGGUCCUUAUUCUAUUCCCCUAGUUACGUCACUCUAAAUAUGUCUUUGCUUUCUCAUCGAGAUAAAAGUUUACAAAUAUUAAGUGUCCACUUGAGUGGAUUUUUAUAUUCACCUAUGAAUGCACCACUAAGAUCAAGGUAGAACAUACUUCUGUUACUCCAGUAGGUGCCGUUUGCC
rnacentral:lncRNA from 1 species